AAAGAAACUAACAAGGAUUUUCUUAGUAGCGGCGAGCGAAAAGAAAUCAGUUCAGCACUAAGUCACUUUGUCUAUAUGGCAAAUGUGAGAUGCAGUGUAUGGAACAUCUAUAUUCUAGUAUGAGAAAUUAACGAUUUAAGUCCUUCUUAAAUGAGGCCAUUUACCCAUAGAGGGUGCCAGGCCCGUAUAACGUUAAUGAUUACUAGAUGAUGUUUCCAAAGAGUCGUGUUGCUUGAUAGUGCAGCACUAAGUGGGUGGUAAACUCCAUCUAAAACUAAAUAUAACCAUGAGACCGAUAGUAAACAAGUACCGUGAGGGAAAGUUGAAAAGAACUCUGAAUAGAGAGUUAAAUAGUACGUGAAACUGCUUAGAGGUUAAGCCCGAUGAACCUGAAUAUCCGUUAUGGAAAAUUCAUCAUUAGAAUUGUGAUAUUUUAAAAAUAUUAUGAUAAUAGUGUGCAUUUUUUCCAUAUAAGGACAUUGUAAUCUAUUAACAUACCAAAUUUAUCAUAAAAUAUAACUUAUAGUUUAUUUAAAUUAUUAUGCUUGCAUUUUAACAUAAAAUAAAUGUUAUUAAUUUGAUAAAGUGUUGAUAGAUUUAUAUGAAAUACAAUGCGUUAAUUUUUCGGAAUUAUAUAAUGGCAUAUUUAUCUAUGAUAUUUGUGUUUAUUAUAUGCAUUUGUAUGAUUAACAAUGCGAAAGAUUCAGGAUACCUUCGGGACCCGUCUUGAAACACGGACCAAGGAGUCUAACAUAUAUGCAAGUCAUUGGGAUUUAUAUAUAAACCUAAUGGCAUAAUUAACUUGACUUGUCUAAAUGGGAUUAGUUUAUUUACUAUUUUAUAGUUUAUUAACGCAAUCCCGGGGCG
rnacentral:rRNA from 1 species